rnacentral:lncRNA from 1 species
UGGCAGCUCAUUGAUUGAGCUUGAAGCUUCUUUCAGAACUCUUACAUUCUCACCAUCCCUGUUCCUAUGGUUUCACUUGGAGAGAUUUACUGCAGGUAUUGCUUCACCUUGUCCUGUGUAAAUCCAUCUAAUGGUAAUGUAGAUGAUUGAGAAAUCAAAGAAGAAGACAAGUAACAUAUCAGUGCUGCUUCUACUAAUGAAAUUGUGUUUCUUUUUUCCUUCUCUUUUAAUGUGGGAGCUUCUAAGAAUUUCUUGUUGUCCAAGUGAAUCAGAUGGGGACUUUUGCUUGCCUUGUGUUCAAAGAAGACAACCUACAAGCAAAUUGCAGCCUCCAGCAAACAUGUCAUCACUGACCUGGUAACAUAUCCUCCAAGUGAUUACUGUUUGGCUUCUCUCUGAUGUGGACAACUACACAGUUAAAGGGGAAUAUGAAAUGUUCAGAGUAAUUACAAGCUGUCAUUUUGAAAUACAUUUGUGUUUCAACAUAUUAAAAGAAACUCUCAUGAUUUCAUAAUUAUUCAUACAUUAAAAGUGGGAAUUGUUACUGCUGAAAAUGAAAGCACCCUUGUGCUGUUCUCCACUUUUUGAUUUUCAUCAUUUUUUAGUUUUAAAAAACAACAAGUAUUUUAUGGGAACAUAAGGAAGUCCUUAAACAUAGCUUUUUCUCAUAUAAGCCCAGCUAAAUCUUGGUAAUUUGGUAUCUUUAUAUACAGCAAUAUUCUCUAACAACUCCAUCCAUCUAAAUGAUCAAGUUCAUCUGGACCUCAUCAUAUCAGCUUCACCCUCCACCUACCUUGUUAUCAUGCAUGCAAAGGCUUUUCUUGGAGCAGAUCAAUCCCAACUUGGAAAACAAACCCACAUCUUUUAGUUUCGUUCUUAACAAAGAAGCAAAUGGUUGUAGGGUCAGUAUAUGAUCAUAGAGUGUCAGAAAAGAGUAAGGGAGAGAAACAAGUGAGAUGGACAGAGUACCUGUCCUUCCAUUCUUUAUCUAAGAAACAAAGACUGUAGACAGCAUAUUACCUCCUUGCUUCUUUUCUAGCUGCAGUCAAAAGAAGAAACAUAAGCAGUGAUUGCCACUCAGUUUUUUUGUGGUGAGUCUCACGCAUCCUCAAGAACACGGUGUGUGUGUGUGAAGAAGAAGAAGAA